rnacentral:lncRNA from 1 species
AUGCCAGGGAUCCAUCAUGGCAUGGGUCUUUGCAAAAGGAUUCGUCACUGGGCUUCAUCAUCCAGAAAACUUUUAAGGACCGCGUGCCAACAUGCCAGAUCUUGGCUCCUUCACAAGGAAAGCUGGGCGGCGCCCCGGAGAGCCCACGCCCCCUUGCACAGAAACCAUGGAAUUUCCCCAGCACGUUGUCUUUGGCAACUCCAAUGCCACAGGAAGGUCAGGACUGGUGAGACACGGAGAGAAUGCAAGGGAGGAAGUGCUGGUCCUGCCUAUGCUGCCGGGGGCCCCUCCCAGGAGGACAGGACAGCUCGUGUCUCCACAAACAGGACCCUGACACGAGCGGGAGCGUCUCCGCGGCAGGUUACUCUCAGAGGGUGUUUCCAUGGAUUCUGCUUGGUGCCCGCCUGCCUGAGGACAGCCCCACCCCUGCCUUUCUGCCUGGUGGUAAAGACCUUUUCUACUCCUUUUUUCUGA